rnacentral:rRNA from 1 species
AUUGAACGCUGGCGGCAGGCCUAACACAUGCAAGUCGAACGAGUGGCGCACGGGAGAGUAAUGUCUGGGAAACCGCCCGAUGGAGGGGGAAAACUACGGGAAACGGUAGCUUACACCGUAUUCUCUCGGAUGCCCCUAGAUGGGAUUAGCUUGGAGGUGGGGUAAUGGCUCACCUAGGCGACGCUCCCUAGCUGGUCUGAGAGGAUGACCAGCCACACUGGGACUGAGACACGGUCCAGACUCCUACGGGAGGCAGCAGUGGGGAAUAUUGCACAAUGGGCGCAAGCCUGAUACAGCCAUGCCGCGUGUAUGAAGAAGGCCUUCGGGUUGUAAAGUACUUUCAGCGAGGAGGCGUUACUCGCAGAAGAAGCACCGGCUAACUCCGUGCCAGCAGCCGCGGUAAUUC